rnacentral:rRNA from 1 species
ACGGAAGGCAGCAGUGGGGAAUAUUGCACAAUGGGCGCAAGCCUGAUGCAGCGAUGUCGCGUGAGGGAAGAAGGUUUUCGGAUUGUAAACCUCUGUCAACAGGGACGAAAAUGACGGUACCUGCGAAGGAAGCUCCGGCUAACUACGUGCCAGCAGCCGCGGUAAUACGUAGGGAGCAAGCGUUAUCCGGAAUUACUGGGUGUAAAGGGAGUGUAGGCGGGACUGUAAGUCAGAUGUGAAACAUGCCGGCUCAACUGGCAGACUGCAUUUGAAACUGCGGUUCUUGAGUGAAGUAGAGGUAAGCGGAAUUCCUAGUGUAGCGGUGAAAUGCGUAGAUAUUAGGAGGAACAUCAGUGGCGAAGGCGGCUUACUGGGCUUUAACUGACGCUGAGGCUCGAAAGCGUGGGGAGCAAACAGGAUUAGAUACCCUGGUA